CAUCGGCAUGGUGGACUUCCUAGAAGCACUCUACGACUUUGGCUCCAGUGUCAACAUUAUGCCCAGGGUACUCUAUGAAAAAUUCUUUACACAACCUUUAUGAGAAACAACCAUGUAUUCGCAGCUUGCAGAUCAGACACUAAGUUUCCCAAAGGGAAUAUUGAAGAACCUCUACGUCCGAGUUGGUACCUUGUACGCCCCAGCAGACUUCGUGGUGAUAGAGACUGGUACUGAUGAGAGGGCACCCAUCAUCCUAGGGAGGCCAUUCCUGAACACCUCGGGAGCUCUCAUUUAUGCUAGUGCUGCCAAGAUCAGUUUCUACAACAAGGGGAGGAAGGAGACAUUUUCCUUUAAGAAUAAGACUACACAAAUCAUAGAGGAAUCCUGACAUGAACCAAGGAAAGGACCAACAGGAGGAACAGGAACAAGCAAAUGUGGACCGAGUUAGCUAAGAUGGUCACUGCAGUUCAAGGAGGUCAAGAUCGUCGAUUUAAGUCACCGUUCCUGACUAAAACCGACAUACAUUCAGCUCCAGAUGGCAGAUCAGACAUUCUGAAAGGUUGAAGGUUAUUGACAUGGGAGAAGACGAGUACAAUCCACCCAUCAUCCUUGGAAGACCAUUCCUCAGCACCGUUAAAGCAAUCAUCUACAUUGGAACUAGAGAAGUCCACAUGCACUUCACCUAUGAGAAGGUACGCCGCUGUUUUACUGACCCUAAAUAUAUAGUUGAAGACUCUAAGAAGGUCAGAACAAGAAGAAGACGACGCAACCGCAACCAGAGAAGACAAAUCAUCAAGGACGGAUGAGCGGACUACGAAGGAGAAGUGGUAAUGUCUGAAGACAUAGAGCUUGAACAGAAUUGUCCUGAGGAGACCGUAGCACCGAGCCAGGUGUGGACAGAGAAGAUAGUUAUACACGAAGAGCAGGCUCUGCCGGAACCACCGACUACGCCAUCCAGUGAAUCCUAGGACGACUGAGAAAGCAGAGAGUCCCGUUCGGAGGACUUAAAAACACCGAACGCCUUGCCAAGAGGUAAACUUGGUAGUUAUCUUUUUCCUUUCAACUAUUUAAAAUACUUUGCUUAGUUAAUCAGGUUCAUAACAUCUUGAAAAGAAAAUAAAAAGUUAAAAAUAGUAAGCCCCACGUGAGUAUGCUCAUGGCAUAAAACCCAUAGGUACAUUCACUGUGGUGGCAUAAAAAUAAAAUAAAUAUAUUCCUGUCAUAUAAAAAUGAAAAUAUAAAAAUAAAUUUAUGAUCCUACCAAAGAGUGUAACAUUUAUUGAGGAGGCGCAACAUGAUAAAGGCUAGAUAUUUAUGCUAACACUUAACCAGUUCCACAAAGCUUUGUUGUCUAUUUGAGCUCCACAGAAUUCAAGGAUCAAAGAAGACUAGCAGAUGGAAGACAUCCUAAUUGCUGUCAGGGUGCUGCCGACAUUCAAAUACACCUCCGCCACCUGCUAGCUACAUCAGGAGAAAUUACAUCAAAAUCCAGCUUGGGGGAGAGCACCCCCAUUUAUCCAGCUAAGUGUUCUACUCACGUUUAUAUUUUUCUCAAAUAAUAAAAAGAUGCAUAAUCAUAAAAACCCAAAUAAAGAUUUUGUACUUAUAUAUAUCUUUGCUUAGCUUGCUAAAUAAAUAAAUAAAUCAAGUUUGUUAUGAACCCUCAAGAUAAGCUCUCACAUGAAAAUGAUGGAUAGUUGCUCUGCCAUGACUAGUUCUCAAAAUUGAAAUCUCUCUCAAGUUUAGGCAUGACUGUUAUUAAUUAAGCUUUGCUCUAAACCUGAACUUGUGGGAAGAGUACUUGAUCUAAAGUCUAAGUCGUUAACGGAUACGAUAUGGGAAGGUUGAGCUGCUGUUUAUCUGUUCCUAGAGAUGCUAGAAUUCUGGAGAAUUUUAUCUUUGAAAAUCUUUAAAAUAUCACAUGAUGAGUUCCUGUAUGAUGAGAGUUUAAAUUCCUUCCACAGCCAUAUAUACAUGCUUGCAAGACUUUGAGCCACACAUUUACUUUUUACUGCUUAUGAGCAUUGAGUGUGGUCAAGCUGUGUAGACCCUUAGGAGCUUGUCAUGUGGUUAAAUCAAGAUUCACUUGCACGUUCACUUACACAUGUUGCUUCUACUCCGGAAGUACGCAUCCACAUAUAUCCAACCAUUUCCAUCUCCAGAACCACCCAAAAAUAUUCUACUCCUAAUCCGGGAGAGAAUAGCCAAAAAUAUUCCUAUUUUUCCCCUGUGAAAUAAAUGCUCAAGUUAUCUUGUUACUACCACUUGCUAUAUUAUCUCAUGAGAUGAGUGCUCUAAAAAAAGAAAAAAAAGUAUACGAGGAAAUAAAAAGGGUCAAGUGCCCGGAACCUCGAAGAAAAGAAAAAGUGAGACGAGAGAUAAAAAUGGACAAGUGUCCGACAGUAGAAUUAGGGGUACAAGAUACCCACCUGAGAGAAAAGAAAAAAAAAUAUAGAGCAUCUCAUUCUCCUCAAAAAGCCUCAAGUGCAAGAAAGGUAUGUAUCCCGUCAAAAGAGCAAAAGUAGAAUUAGACUUUCACCAUUAUUUUUACCAUUAUCACAUUCAUUCGCCACACAUGCACAUCUUGAUUUGACUUAUUGACUUGGUCUUCUGGAUCCAUGGUUUGACUAUGCAAUAAAUGUCUUGUAAGUAUGUAUUAGCUGUCUCCCACCUAUGAGCUCCAGAUAUCAAAACCUUAUUAGAGUAUGGUGAGAGAGAAGGCAAUGCCACUAUGCCUCAUACUAAAAAUACCACAUCUUUGAGAGAAGGCAUACACCAUUACUGCCUUGGUAAGGAUCCAGAAAUACCACAAAAGAGAGACUAGAGAGAGUCAUACAAGGAAUCUCUGAGUUUUAUUUGAAAAUCUACAAAAACUACAGAGCUAUAGUUAAUCAAAGAACAAGAGACAUGGCGCUUGACUAGACCGUUCUAUCUUUUAACUACUCAAGACAUAAGUGACGGUUGCAAGCCCCAUGGUGAAAGGAGAAAUGAGUAAGUUUAAAUCUUAACAGCUUACCCUAACCCAGAGAUGAGAUCUUGUUUGAACGCAUGUGUAUCUUUAAGGCAUGAAACAACUGCAGAAACUUUUGAGUUUAUCUUUGCUCAGGGACGAGCAAAGGUUAAGCUUGGGGGAGCUUAUUGACGGUCCUUAAUGCUCACAUUUAACCGUCAACUAAUCAUGGAAAAGGAUCCAAAUGCAACCAACACCCAGACUUAGGGUUUUAUCUGACAGAAUUGCACGAGUUUUGGUGUUUGUCUAUUUCUGUAGGGGGUUAUCCGGAAAUACGGAAGAAAGGCCCACACGCCGGGUUUACAUAGAGAUAUUAACGUGCCAUGCAAUUUUCUAUCAUCUAGAAGACUCCAGAAGCCACGGGAAGGAAGCGGAGGCCGAGAGGGCUCAGGGACAGGGCGCCCGCCCAAGUCCUGAGGGCGCCCGCCCUGGAGUUCUGCCCAAUCACGUCCAAACUCGCGGAUCGUGCUCCACCGACCUAAGAGAUCAAGGAUAACCGUUCAAUCAAUGUCGGUUUGAUCCAACGGCCCAUAUUCACUUGAAGGGACUAUAAAACUAGACGCCCUGGCCCCUGGAGAUCAUACCUCUUCUACAGAAUCAAAGCUAGGGUUUCAAUUCUUCAUCCAAGUAGAGAGGAUGCCUCUAGUUCUUCUAGUUCUACCUCUAGUUCAUCUAGAUCUAGCUCUAGUUCAUCUAGUUCUAGUUCUAGUUUAUCUAGUUCUAGUUCUAGUUAGUUCUAGUUGUAAUCUAGAAAGUAGGG
rnacentral:lncRNA from 1 species